UGAGACUUUUUCACGAGGAUAGUUUCAACUCUGCCUCCAAAAAGCUUCUAUAUGACUAGAUUGUGAGGAAGGUGCCUGACAAAAUUGAGAGCCACUCAGUUGAGGAAGGUAAUUUUACUAACAGCACACACAGCACAGCACCAAAUUAGCCCCUCGGUCACUCAGAGCAGAAGACCCAAAGUAGAUUUUUUUUUUACCCCAUUUUCAAUCUCUCCCCUUGUCUCUAUGAAUCGCUCGCCGUGACCGCGUUCCCGUCCGAUUCCGGCUCCGAUCUCCCAUCAGGUUCUUUUGGCAAGAUUCAAGGAGGUGUGCCUGGUUCUUCAAGUUCAUAUCAAGUAGUAGAACUACCAGCAUUCUCAAGUCCAAUGCACACUGCCCUCAACUGGAAAGGCCAUGGAGCAUGAUGGGCGAAAUACUAAUAUGCUAUCUGAUGCAAAUAAAAUAUUGCAGGCUGGCAGGCAAAAUAAUGCAGUAGAAAUGAGUGUGGUGAGAAGUGCAGCUUCUAGAGAUACUGGUAAAUCUCCAGUUCAUGUGGCCCCUGCAUCUUCUGGCAUGCCUUUUAAAGAACAGCAGUUGAAACAGCUCAGAGCGCAGUGCCUUGUCUUUUUAGCCUUCAGAAAUGGUUUGAUGCCAAAGAAACUUCAUCUUGAAAUUGCGCUUGGAAACAAUUCACCUAAAGAAGGUGGCAAUACAGAUGGCCCUCAAAAAGAUUUUGUUGACCAUAAAGGAAAAGCACAAUCUUCAAAUGAGCCAAAUAACAAUUCUGAUGCUAGUAUGCCAUUUGGAAGACUUAACCAUGAUACUGAUAAAAGUGCAGUCUCCAGUGGGAUACUCCUGGAGACUGACACUUUGGCAAAAAAAUCUGAGAGCCCAAAAAUGAAGGAGAAGCUGAAACGCAACCUCAGGAUACCACUUGUUUAACUGUGGCAUCACAGCAGUCUGACUCAGGUGCAAGACGUGGUUUAACUGUUAACCCUGUGGAAAAUAUAGAGACUGGACAUUUGCAACUUGGACGAGUCAACCCAGCCUCUUCUCUAAUGGGUAUGAACAAGCAGAACUCUGAUAUAAGCAGCUGGACUGGGGUUGGCAGUCAAACUGAAGUUUCCGGAGGACUGUUACCUCCUUCUGCCGGUCAGCCUGAGAUUUUUCCUGAAAGAAAAGAUACUGCACCCAGCCAGUUCCAAAAUCACGGUAACAAUGUUUUGGGGAAUCAACAUACUGCCAAUCACCCAGAUUCUUUUGCAUCUAGAUCGUCGGAAACCAAUUGCAGAAUUGGCAAUGAUCAUCACCCAGUAGACUAAAACUGAUUUUAGUUUAUUCAAAUGGAAAUGGAUGUUUUUCUACAAAAUUCCUACCAUAUAUCCUCUAGUUAGUUACCUUGCAUUUAGAACUGUUGAGACUUCACUUAUGUCCAACUUUCGUCAAAUUCAAAGGAGCAAUGGAUCCUCGGAGAAACCUUGUUGUGGCUCAUUUAUGAAAUGUGUACAUUGUUUGUUUGUGAGAGUGGCAUUAAGAAAGAAUCAGUGAGUCUGGCUUAAUGGCAUUGCAGGAAUCAAUGGUUGCCCCAAAUCUACUUCUUUAUUGGUGUUCGGGUUAAUAUGUAAAGUUAGCUCUGCGGGAAAAGUGGAAAAACUUGGUGUCUGCUUACUUUAGUAGGAUUUGCAUACUCUGAACUUAAACAAAAUAGGGAUCAUCAAUUAAGCAGAUGAGUUUUACAUUACUUUAACUAUGCACUGUCAUGAUAUUCGUGUUCAAUAGCAUGAACAGAAAUACACAGGAAAGGUUAUUUGGCACAUCAUACUGUGCAUCUCACUAAAGGGGAAUACUUAUGUGAUUUGCUUGAUAAUUUCUCAUGUUGUUUUAGUGUUUGACUAUUUAUAGCAUAUAUCUGACUCUACAAACUAAGACUAUACAUCAGCCUGAAAAGGAAAUUGUUUGGUACUUACUUUGUUUGCCUUUCAAGUCACGAUAUUUGAUAAGUGAUCUCCAAAUCGUGGUUUUACCAAGUUGGUAAUUCAGUUUUGAAAUGGAAAGUAAUCUGUCAAAUUCAUUUAAACUCUCUGGAAUGUUGUUUGUUGGAAUCAGCGAUCAACAUCUGUCUUGCACCUCAUGAGACUUUGACAUCUUUCUGCUCAGCUUGUUUUUCUUUUUUCCCUUAAUGUAAAAAGUUUGUUAAGAAAGUGGCUGCAUGCCCUAACCCACCCUAUUCUGGUCUACUACUCUCCUUAAACUCUAAAAUAUAGAUUGUUACUAGAUUCAAUAGAUCCUGUGUGCAUGAAUUUGCAUGUUUAUAUAUUGGGGAACAGGUACUUGUAAUGCAUUGUUUGGAUGGUACUUUUUUUCUUUUUUAAAUUUGAUAUUGUAUGUGCCUCUGUACUACAUCUUAUAAUUUUUGCUGCAGGAAAAUGUGAGCUCAUCUGAAGAUAUAUCUGCAAAAACCAAAAGUGUUAUAGAACUGAAAAAACUACAGCUCUUGGAAUUGCAACGCCGUCCCAGGAGGCCCUGCAUCAGGAGAAAGUCCAAACCUAAAAGAGGCUUUGCCUGAAAAUUGCUCAUCCAAACCUAAGAAUGACAAAAUUUCAGGAGAUGAAGGUUCUACCACACCAGUUUCUGUAUCAAAUGAGACCAUUUCAGAGGUGAAUAAGAGUCAUACUCUGGAGGAGAAAGCUCUUCCAGCAACUCCAACUUUGGUCGCUGCAUCUCCUGUUUUUAGUCCUUCAACUGGUUCCCUUCCCGGUUCUACUCCCAUGGAAAACAGUGGUGAGGCAAAACAUCAUGGUGCUGAGAUUUCUCCUAGAUCUCAGUCAAAGCUGUCCUCUUCUGUUUCUCCUGCUUCCCCUGCUUCUCAGUCUAUCACUCCUAGCCCUUCCAAACCUGUGGAAGUCAAAAAAACAGGGUCGAAAGGCUUCAAGCAGAGCUGAAGCACCCCAUCGCGGCAGGGGAAGAAGCAGGCUCCUGUGUUACCAGCUGUGUCUGAUGGUUCAGCUAGUCAGGAUCCAGAAUUACAGGAUAUGUCUGCUGGCACAUUGGGGAGUAAGACUGCUGCACUGGGAAGAAAGCAAGGUACUGAUGGGCAGGAACUGGUACAUGUUAUUCAGUCCCAGAUAAGUUAAGUGCAUUUAGUUAGCAGUUUAACUGAUUCUGAUCCAAAAAGAAAAGAGCACCCAAGCUAUCCUACCCAAAAUAAGCAGCCUACAAACUCAUCAUCAACGAUUGACAGUGCUGCUGGAUCCUCUGAUAAGACUUCUGCUCUGGGAUGUAUCCAGACUGCUAAUGUAAACGAUGUUGCUUGUGUGAUGAAAGAGGUCUUUUCUGGCACACGUUUAUCAAAAGCUAAAAUUUCUGAGUCUUUUGGGAGAGAAGGUCGGGUUUCCCCCCGCGUACCUGUAUCCCCAGUAAGACUCCGGUGGACGUGGCCAAAAACCAAGAGGUUUCUGAACCUGAGACGGGUGAUCUUUCGAAUGCGUCCAAGGUUGGCGAUGGUGGUUGUUCCAGAAAACAUUGAUUUCUCUGCAUCCUCCUUGGCAAGGAAAAAAAGGUAGACUGCUUACCUGUUGGCAGCUUAGUAACACUGGAGAGUUCAAAAGGAUCUCCAGCUGAAAAGGAUUCUUUGAUGGAUUCCCACGAUGCUUCUGGGAGAGUGGCAGAAAUUGUUCAGCCUGUGGUUACAUUAACCAUGGGCAGUUAAUAGUGUUGAAGGAUCAUCUGAGGCAGGCCUGUAGGCAGUCUCAAGUUACAGGAGUCAGAACAUGAAGCUAAAGCUAGUGAUGCUUUUCAGGUCUCUAGGACACUGCCUGAAAUUGUGUCUGGAAACAUUGAUCAGCCUCUGGUUUCUUUGACUCUGGGAGGUGAUAGUGUUGUAGGCUUAUCUGAGGCACAACCUAUAGACAGCUCCAAGCCGCCAGAGGAGUUGGAAUGUGCAGCUAAAGUUGUUGAAACUUCUCAGGUUUGUGUGACAAGCAUUAUCAGCCUCUAAUUACCUUGACUAUGGGGUGUGAUAUUGAAGGCUCUGAAGCAGGUCCUGUAGGUAGCUCUAAACCUCUAGAGGAGGUGGAAUGUGAGGUUAAAGUUGGUAAUACUUCUCAAGUUAAUGGGUCAUUUCUGGCAAAUGUGUCUGAAAACCUUGAUUUCCGUCCCUCUUCUGAAGCUAAAGUUGGUAAUACUUCUCAAGUUUAUGAGUCAUUGCCGGCAAAUGCGUCUGAAAACCUGGAUUUACAGCUCUCUUCUGAAGCUAAAGCUGGUGAUGUCUCUGACAUUUGUGAGACAUUGACAGAAGUUGUACCUGAAAACAUGGAUUUGCAGCCAUGUUCAACAGGGCAGAAGUCGGAAUCAGAAGCUAUAUUUGGUGUUGCUUCUCAGGUGCAUGAGACUGUGUCAAAAAUUGUAUCUGAAAACAUGGAGUUGCAGCCAUCUUCAACAGUGCAGGAGUUGGAAUCUGAAGAAGUUGAUGCGUCUCAGGUUUGUGAGACAGUGUUGGAAUUUGUACCUGAGAACAUGGAUUUGCAGCCAUCUUCAACAGUGCAGGAGUCGGAAUCUGAAACUAGAGGUGGUGAGGCUUCUCAGGUUAGCAAAACAUUGCCGGAGUCUGAAAACAUGGAUUUGCAGACAUUGGCAACAGCAUAUGACUCAGUAUCUGCAGCUAAAGCUGGUGAGGUGUCUCAGUUUAGUGAAGCAUUGCUAAAGUCUGGAAAUAUGGAUUUGCAAACAUCUUCAACAGCACAGGAAUCAGAAUCUGAAGCUAAAGUAGGUGAUGCUUCUGGGGUUUGUGAGACAUUGCUGGAGUCCAAAAUCAUGGAUUUGCAACCAUCUUCAACAGUUCAGGAUACACAAUCUUUAACUAAAGUUGGUGAUGAUUCUCAGGUUUGUGAGACUGGAGUCUGAAAACAUGGAUUUGCAGCCAUCUUCAGGAGCACAGGUGUCUAAAGCUGAUGCUAAAGUGGGUGAUGUUUCUCAGGAUUCUGAGACAUUGCCAAAGUCUGAAAACAUGGAUUUGCAGCCAUCUUCAACUGUACAGGAAUCUGAAGCUGAAGCUAACAUUUCUGAGUCUUUUGGGAGAGAAGGUAGUGUUUCCCCCGGUGUACCUGUAUCACUAAGACUCUGGUGGACAUGGCCGAAAACCAAAAUUUGGAGGAUAAAGCAUGUUCUGGUGUGGAAUUGAAGGUUUCGAAACUGAGAUGGAUGAUAUUUUGAAUGCGUCAAAGCUCAUUGAAUAUGCUAGCCUUUACAAAUAUCCUCAAGAAAUUUGACAAGGUAUCGAACCAGCAGGCAUCAGCAAGUUAUCUAAAAGCAGUGAAGAGAUCACAUUUCAUCAGUUCUGAUAAGCAGUACGUGGGGAUGAUGAUGAUGUUUCAACAACUUUAAUUUCAAGUCUUUUAUUUGAUGGGGCGGUGGACAAUUCCUUUCUUGGGCUCGUUGACUGCACUUCACAUGGCUGCCACAUCUGUGAUCUGUCCUUGGGCUUUCUUGGAUGAUGGGGCCUCGACAAAGAGAUCCUACGCAUCUGUGGUUCGCCCGUCUUCCAUUCCCAUUGUGGAUUUACCAGCGACGGUUGUACAGGAUGGGAAGACUACUGUUAUGAGAUAUCUGAGGAAGCUUAUCAGUCUGGGCUGGAUAAGUGUAAGCACAUGUUGCUUGGUGACCUGCAAUUGGCCUUCGAGGAUAAGUCGUAUUCUCCACCCGAUCUUCAGCGUAAGCUUGCGGCUAUUUGGAGUGCUCUAGGUAGUUGGAAGAUCAUCCCAAUGGGGAAGGGAUAUUACUCGUUCAAUUUUGCCUCUGCAGAUUCACUGGCUAGGGUUUGGGCGCAGGGUGCUAUCGCUCUCAAGUCUGGUACGUUGAGGUUUAUGAAAUGGGUUCCAAAUUUCUCCCCAGCGAGUCAAAAGAACACUGUUAGAAUUUGUGGCUUUGAUACUACUGUUGUAAUUUGGUGCGGAAGCUUUAGGAGUAGUGGGAUAGGACAAUGUGUUUAGGACUUUAGUUUUGGGAGCAAGAGUUUGGGAGAAGGAGUAGAGGAGAUGGUUGAGUAGUUAAAACA